CGAGCGAGAGAGAGCUUGCUUUCUCAAGCGAGUGGCGAACGGGUGAGUAACGCGUGAGGAACCUGCCUCAAAGAGGGGGACAACAGUUGGAAACGACUGCUAAUACCGCAUAAGCCCACGACCCGGCAUCGGGUAGAGGGAAAAGGAGCAAUCCGCUUUGAGAUGGCCUCGCGUCCGAUUAGCUAGUUGGUGAGGUAACGGCCCACCAAGGCGACGAUCGGUAGCCGGACUGAGAGGUUGAACGGCCACAUUGGGACUGAGACACGGCCCAGACUCCUACGGGAGGCAGCAGUGGGGAAUAUUGCACAAUGGGGGAAACCCUGAUGCAGCGACGCCGCGUGGAGGAAGAAGGUCUUCGGAUUGUAAACUCCUGUUGUUGAGGAAGAUAAUGACGGUACUCAACAAGGAAGUGACGGCUAACUACGUGCCAGCAGCCGCGGUAAAACGUAGGUCACAAGCGUUGUCCGGAAUUACUGGGUGUAAAGGGAGCGCAGGCGGGAAGACAAGUUGGAAGUGAAAUCCAUGGGCUCAACCCAUGAACUGCUUUCAAAACUGUUUUUCUUGAGUAGUGCAGAGGUAGGCGGAAUUCCCGGUGUAGCGGUGGAAUGCGUAGAUAUCGGGAGGAACACCAGUGGCGAAGG
rnacentral:rRNA from 1 species